UCAGCAAAUCAAGAAAGUCCUCAACACCCUCUGCACACUCGCACAAAAAAAAAAGUUUCAUUCUUUUCUGCUACUACACAAGUUUAUAGGGGGCUAUGGCUUCUACAACUCUGUCUUGGUCAGCUGCUCCUUUGGUGUCGAAGAAACCCAUUAACACUCCAACUAAAGGAACCAUUCCUUGCUCAUUGAGCUUCCCACAGAGAGGUUCCAACUCUGUUCGACCUUCACGGCUGUCUUUUGUGAGAGCUCAGGCAGCAGGAGAUAACAAGGACACAUCCGUGGAUGUGCAAGUCAAUCCUCAGAGUAGCCAAGGCACAGCAGUUGAAAAAAGACCUAGGAGGCAGCUGGCCGUUGAUGUCUCACCUUUCGGUAAGUCUUUCUUUAUCAAUUCGGUAGAGAAAUUUGAGGGUUUUUGGAUCGGAUGAUGACUUGAAACUUCAUCUUGGUUACAGGUUUGUUGGAUCCAUUGUCUCCGAUGAGGACAAUGCGUCAAAUGAUGGACACAAUGGACAGGAUAUUUGAGGAUGCGAUGACACUGCCUGGAAGCAGAAGCAGAACAGUAGGAGAAGUACGAGCACCAUGGGACAUCAAAGAAGAUGAAAACGAGUUCAAGCUGAGGUUCGACAUGCCAGGACUCUCAAAGGAGGACGUGAAGGUGUUUGUGGAGGAAGAUGUGCUUGUUAUUAAGGGUGAACAUAAAAACGAAGAAGGUGGAGAGGAUUCAUGGGCUAGCAGAAGUCUGAGUUCUUACGAUACACGUCUUAAACUCCCAGAUAACUGCGAGAAAGAUAGAAUCAAGGCGGAGUUGAAGAAUGGAGUUCUGUUCAUUUCCAUUC
rnacentral:lncRNA from 1 species